CAGUAGCCGCGGUAAUACGAAGGGUGCAAGCGUUAAUCGGAAUUACUGGGCGUAAAGCGUGCGUAGGCGGUUUGUUAAGUCUGCUGUGAAAUCCCCGGGCUCGACCUGGGAAUGGCAGUGGAUACUGGCAAGCUAGAGUGUGUCAGAGGAUGGUGGAAUUCCCGGUGUAGCGGUGAAAUGCGUAGAGAUCGGGAGGAACAUCAGUGGCGAAGGCGGCCAUCUGGGACAACACUGACGCUGAGGCACGAAAGCGUGGGGAGCAAACAGGAUUAGAUACCCCUGUAGUCCCUGUCUCUUAUAC
rnacentral:rRNA from 1 species